rnacentral:rRNA from 1 species
GAUCUGGCUCAGGAUGAACGCUAGCGACAGGCCUAACACAUGCGAAGUCGAGGGGCAGCAGGGUAGCAAUACCGCUGGCGACCGGCGCACGGGUGAGUAACGCGUAUGUAACCUACCCAUAAGUGGGGGAUAGCCCAGCGAAGGCUGGAUUAAUACCGCAGUAAUACUGGUUGAUGACAUCUGAUGCCAGUUAAAGAUUUAUUGCUUAUGGAUGGACAUGCGUCUGAUUAGCUAGUUGGCGGGGUAACGGCCCACCAAGGCGACGAUCAGUAGGGGUUCUGAGAGGAAGGUCCCCCACAUUGGUACUGAGACACGGACCAAACUCCUACGGGAGGCAGCAGUGAGGAAUAUUGGUCAAUGGGCGGAAGCCUGGAACCAGCCAAGUCGCGUGAAGGAUUGAAGGUAUUAUGUAUUGUAAACUUCUUUAGCAGUGGAGUAAUAAGGAGCUCGUGAGCUUCGAUGCAAGUACACUGAAAAUAAGGAUCGGCUAACUCCGUGCCAGCCGCCGC